rnacentral:tRNA from 1 species
GCAGGUAUCGUACAGUGGUCAGUACCGCAACCUUUGGGUUGAUGAUAUGGGUUCAAUUCCCUCUACCUGCUCCA